CCCGGUCAUGAUCGCGCCGGUUCUCCCGCAAGGGGGAUUAAAAGGGAACGCGGUGAGGGCGAGCGAUCGUCCGAAUCCGAGGCUGUCCCUGCAACUGUAAGCGGCGAGCGGAAGCGCAUGUGAUCGGUCCUGCCGAUCCAGCCACUGGGGAAACCUGGGAAGGCGCGCCAUCCCGCGAUGACCCGUGAGCCAGGAGACCUGCCGGCGUCAGGUCGCUCAUG
rnacentral:ncRNA from 23 species